rnacentral:rRNA from 1 species
ACUGAACGCUGGCGGCAGGCCUAACACAUGCAAGUCGGGCGGUAACACAGGGAGCUUGCUCCUGGGUGACGAGCGGCGGACGGGUGAGUAAUGUCUGGGAAACUGCCUGAUGGAGGGGGAUAACUACUGGAAACGGUAGCUAAUACCGCAUAACGUCACAAGACCAAAGAGGGGGACCUUCGGGCCUCUUGCCAACAGAUGUGCCCAGAUGGGAUUAGCUAGUAGGUGGGGUAAGGGCUCACCUAGGCGACGAUCCCUAGCUGGUCUGAGAGGAUGACCAGCCACACCGGAACGGAGACACAGGCCAGACGCCUACGGGAGGCAGCAGUGGGGAAUAUUGCACAAUGGGCGCAAGCCUGAUGCAGCCAUGCCGCGUGUGUGAAGAAGGCCUUCGGGUUGUAAAGCACUUUCAGCGAGGAGGAAGGCGGUGAGGUUAAUAACCUCAUCGAUUGACGUUACUCGCAGAAGAAGCACCGGCUAACUCCGUGCCAGCAGCCGCCGUAA